UACAGAGGGUGCGAGCGUUAAUCGGAAUUACUGGGCGUAAAGCGUGCGUAGACGGUUAUUUAAGUCGGGUGUGAAAGCCCCGGGCUCAACCUGGGAAUGGCAUUUGGGACUGCAAGGCUGGAGUUUGGCAGAGGAGACUGGAAUUCCUGGUGUAGCAGUGAAAUGCGUAGAUAUCAGGAGGAAUACCGAUGGCGAAGGCAGGUCUCUGGGCUAUAACUGACGCUCAUGCACGAAAGCGUGGGGAGCAAACAGG
rnacentral:rRNA from 1 species